GAUGAACGCUGGCGGCGUGCCUAAUACAUGCAAGUCGAGCGAACAGACGAGGAGCUUGCUCCUCUGACGUUAGCGGCGGACGGGUGAGUAACACGUGGAUAACCUACCUAUAAGACUGGGAUAACUUCGGGAAACCGGAGCUAAUACCGGAUAAUAUAUUGAACCGCAUGGUUCAAUAGUGAAAGACGGCUUUGCUGUCACUUAUAGAUGGAUCCGCGCCGCAUUAGCUAGUUGGUAAGGUAACGGCUUACCAAGGCGACGAUGCGUAGCCGACCUGAGAGGGUGAUCGGCCACACUGGAACUGAGACACGGUCCAGACUCCUACGGGAGGCAGCAGUGGGGAAUCUUCCGCAAUGGGCGAAAGCCUGACGGAGCAACGCCGCGUGAGUGAUGAAGGUCUUCGGAUCGUAAAACUCUGUUAUUAGGGAAGAACAAAUGUGUAAGUAACUAUGCACGUCUUGACGGUACCUAAUCAGAAAGCCACGGCUAACUACGUG
rnacentral:rRNA from 1 species